AACAGGAUUAGAUACCCUGGUAGUCCACGCCGUAAACGAUGUCGACUUGGAGGUUGUUCCCUUGAGGAGUGGCUUCCGGAGCUAACGCGUUAAGUCGACCGCCUGGGGAGUACGGCCGCAAGGUUAAAACUCAAAUGAAUUGACGGGGGCCCGCACAAGCGGUGGAGCAUGUGGUUUAAUUCGAUGCAACGCGAAGAACCUUACCUACUCUUGACAUCCAGAGAACUUAGCAGAGAUGCUUUGGUGCCUUCGGGAGCUCUGAGACAGGUGCUGCAUGGCUGUCGUCAGCUCGUGUUGUGAAAUGUUGGGUUAAGUCCCGCAACGAGCGCAACCCUUAUCCUUUGUUGCCAGCGAUUCGGUCGGGAACUCAAAGGAGACUGCCGGUGAUAAACCGGAGGAAGGUGGGGAUGACGUCAAGUCAUCAUGGCCCUUACGAGUAGGGCUACACACGUGCUACAAUGGCGCAUACAAAGAGAAGCGACCUCGCGAGAGCAAGCGGACCUCAUAAAGUGCGUCGUAGUCCGGAUCGGAGUCUGCAACUCGACUCCGUGAAGUCGGAAUCGCUAGUAAUCGUGGAUCAGAAUGCCACGGUGAAUACGUUUUCGGGCCUUGUACACACCGCCCGUCACACCAUGGGAGUGGGUUGCAAAAGAAGUAGGUAGCUUAACCUUCGGGAGGGCGCUUACCACUUUGUGAUUCAUGACUGGGGUGAAGUCGUAACAAGGUAACC
rnacentral:rRNA from 1 species